GCACUUCUUUGUGGUAAAUGAUCAUUGUAGAUGUACAAUUUUUAUAAGAUAGAGAUGUCAAAACUCUAUAUUUAAUCAUUUCAUUUUAUCUGACUUCAAGAGAUGUGAAAACUAAUGACUAAAAGAAAUAAUGAAAUAUAAAGCAUAAACACGUCGUCAAUGUUUAAAAACGAAACGGAUUACAACUAAAUUUAAACGUAAAUACCCUAAUAUGUAAUGAUUUAAAGUCAUUUUUUUUUAAAUAUUUUAAACAUGUGGCGGCCAUCUUGGUUAUUUUAGACCCAAUUUACUUAAAGUAUAUGUGCUAGUAUACCCUUAGGAACACUAGGACAACGAUGACACUGUAAUAAUCAUGAGUUGUAAUCUAAAAUUUAUUACUAACAUUUGAUUUUUGCUGAAUAAUAUUAUAAUUGCUUCUAUUAAGAUUUGGAAACUGAAUAAUUCAGGUGUUUCAGGGGUAUCUAAAACUACAACGUUACAGUCAACAGAUGGUAACAAAGACAGAUUUACAACAACUGCAAAUGUCUCAGGACACACCGGGAAGAUUUUACCUGAACGAAAAACAAACUCAAAGGACAUUGUAAUUGGUGUAAGCGUCGGGUUGGUAGGACUCCUACUCAUUGUCGGUAUUGUCAUCAUUGUGGCCAUGGUCAUGACAGGAAAAUUUAAAGCAAAUAGAUCUGCACCAAGCUUGUCAGUGAAGCAACACCAAGCAGAACACAUUCAUGAAUAUAUAAAUUCUCCGAUACCUUAUCACCUGCCGCAAAAAAAAGCUUGAGAUGGGAAUCUAAUCAUAAUGCGAUCUAAAAAAAUUUAAACCGUUUGUUUGUAAAAUGAUGUGUUAACGAUUUGUAUAAACCUUUGUAUGGCUUCUAGUGUAUGCUUACUGAUAUUGGAAUUAAGCAACGUGACAAUUUUGUACACAUUUUAUGGAGUAUAAACAAUUUAGUUAAAAUUUUUACAUUUAAAAAAAAUAUUCAUGCUUAAAAGUAAAUAUAAAAAAACGCCGGAAACAUUCCAUGUGUAUUGCUGUUUACUUCAUAUAAUUACAAGAAUAAACUUAGGCCUAAAAGCUGCACGUGUACCCACUUUAUUAAUCUUUUUAUUGUUAAAUAACUAACAGAAUUAUGACCGAUGAAUCAGUCAAAUUUAAGAUGUUCUUUUCAGAAUAAUUUUUGUGCUCACAACUCCUUACAAACCGCACAUAAAAGCAAAAAAAAAAAAAAAAUUACAAAAAAUUGACUUCGUUAGGUUAUAUGGCCUCACACAUCACAAGUGUUGAUAUGCUAUAUAAUUUGAGCCGCCAAGUUGCUGGGAAACAACCGUUUAUAAUAUAAUGCGGCUAUAUAACCUGUCAAAUUAUCUACGACGAUUUUAUGAUAAGCAAGCUUACCUUACUAAUUUAAGGCAGCCAUUAGUGCGUUAGUAACAUCAUAUAAAACAUGAUUAUCCAAUGAAAAGCGACGUUAAAACGUACAGGAAUUUGAAAUUAGAAAUUCACACUUAGUAGUAAUUUUGAUUAAUUGUUAUUUGUGACACAUAUUACCCGUUAGCAUUUAUUUACGUCUUUUUCAACUUUGUUUAUUAUACAUUACGGAUUGGUCAAUGAAAACCACUUUGAAAAUCCCGGCUAUUAUCAAUUAUUUUAUAACCUGGAACUUAACACGGAUUGGAAGUAGUUCUACAGAGGGUGUUACCUUUGAUAAUGUAUAACGAAUAUAUAUAUUUAACAUUAAAGGGAAAAUAAAGGCCAUUUCGGUAAAACUGACUGAAAAUAUGUCAGACAAUCAUUAUCCAUUUAAAAACGCUCACUGACAAAUUCGACUUAAUGCCAACUUUCGAUUUCUACAACCAUAAUAAUAAGUUUAAAACUUAUGUACUGUUACUUUAAUAUCUAUGAAUUUGGGCGGCGAUUACUGGAUAUAUUUAACUCAACUUAGUCAACAGUCCAUCAUUAAAUUACUAUUUGUUUACAGGUUUAGUACCUAACCUACUUGACCGAAAUACCGUAUCCAUUCUAUGUAUUCAUACUAAUGUUGUUCUGAAAUCAGACGAAAAGGACCGAAAAGUUGCGAUUCCCUUGUCGAAUGUAAGGAAUAAUGGGGGCCUGGUUUUUACCUUUCUUUUUGGCACUAAACUUGGUAAAAAAAUGGUAAAUUGGUAAUAGAAUUCAUUAAGAUAAUUAAAAUAGUAUUCACCUCUUAUUUGGUCUUGUACAUUCCGAGACUGUUACACGAAUAUUUCAUUGAUUAAUUUGUCUAUGACGAAUAAUUAUUACCAACUUUUGAAUGAUUUUUUGUCUAAUAGUAUAAUACUUUUUCAUUCAAAUUAAAUUAGAGUUUAACUAUGAGUUUAGAAAUGUCACUGUGAAUGAUUUGAAUGUUAUGACAUAUAUAAUUGUACAUCACUUGUCAGUUAUUAAAAGUAUUACUUUUCUUCUUUUUAUUGAAAUCAUUACUAUGGUGUUUUUGGAACAGUCAAAAAUGUUGUCUCUCGGUAUAGAGAUGAUAUUUUGAAAUGUUGCCAGAGGCCAAAUACCGAAGGACAACAGUUUUGACAGUUCCACAAACACCCAUGAAAUAACUGUUUUAUUACCUUACACUUUGCAAUCCAACUAGCAUCAUUAUAAUUACAUUUUACAAGUGUUUUAAUUGUUGACAUUUGAUUUUCUAAAAAACAUCACUUCCGCGACGUUCGAUAACCGAAAUAGUGACGGUGGCGUGAACGGAAAUAUCUGAUGACGGAGGUGUAACAGUUGACAAUGUUAACAGGGCAACUUUUCAUUUCAUCAUUGCGCAUGCACAGUAUUUCAGCGGUUCAAAAAAACAGUUUUAAAUAAGGAAUUAGUAUUUAUAGAAGGCAUUAGGUUAUAACAUCGUCUGUUGAUAUAAAGGAAAAUGGAUAUAUUGGAACGAAAAUAUCUUCUAAGAGCAUCUAAAUAACGUGACUCUCUACGGUUAACUGUGGUUAGCUCAUUUACUAAGAUAUUUAACAAUUUGCAGUUUAGAUAUUGUAAAUUUAAAUUUAACUUAUACUUAAGCAAAUGAUAAGAAAAACCUUUCUUACGAUUUUUUAUCAAUAUAGUCAUGUAUAUAUUGUAUAUGUUCAAAGAGCCUACACUAACAUUGUAUUCAUUACUUACCUCAUUUAUUCAUGUUAACAUGCAAUGUGUGUAAUAAAGGAAAUUUUACUUGACU